UACGUAGGGUGCGAGCGUUAAUCGGAAUUACUGGGCGUAAAGCGUGCGCAGGCGGUUUUGCAAGCCGGAUGUGAAAUCCCCGGGCUCAACCUGGGAAUGGCAUUUGGGACUGCAAGGCUCGAGUGCGGCAGAGGAGACUGGAAUUCCUGGUGUAGCAGUGAAAUGCGUAGAUAUCAGGAGGAAUACCGAUGGCGAAGGCAGGUCUCUGGGCUGACACUGACGCUCAUGCACGAAAGCGUGGGAAGCAAACAGG
rnacentral:rRNA from 1 species